UACAGAGGUGGCAAGCGUUGUUCGGAAUUACUGGGCGUAAAGGGCGCGUAGGCGGCCAUCUAAGUCAGACGUGAAAUCCCCCGGCUCAACCUGGGAACUGCGUCUGAUACUGGACGGCUGGAGUUUGGGAGAGGGAUGUAGAAUUCCAGGUGUAGCGGUGAAAUGCGUAGAUAUCUGGAGGAAUACCGGUGGCGAAGGCGGCAUCCUGGACCAAUACUGACGCUGAGGCGCGAAAGCUAGGGGAGCAAACGGG
rnacentral:rRNA from 1 species